GACUGGGGUAGUUAACUGGUAGAGCAUGAGACUCAGGGGAUUGGACUAGAUGACCCUUGGGUCCCUUCCAGCUCUAAGAUUCUAUGAUUUUAUGAUUCUUAAUCUCGGGUCGUGGGUUCGAGUCCCAUGUUGGGCA